rnacentral:ncRNA from 1 species
AACGGACCCGCUGGCGCGGGUGGCUUCUCCGGGCGCCUAUCCCUCGGCAAACC